rnacentral:sRNA from 1 species
GAAGAAGAAGAAAAAAAUCUUAU